rnacentral:rRNA from 1 species
UACGGAGGGUGCAAGCGUUAUCCGGAUUCACUGGGGUUAAAGGGUGCGUAGGUGGGCUGGUAAGUCAGUGGUGAAAUCUCCAGGCUUAACUUGGAAACUGCCAUUGAUACUAUCAGUCUUGAAUACCGUGGAGGUCAGCGGAAUAUGUCAUGUAGCGGUGAAAUGCUUAGAGAUCGGAAAGAACACCAACGGCGAAAGCACUCUGCUGGGCCGACACUGACACUGAGAGACGAAAGCUAGGGGAGCGAAUGGG